GAUGAACGCUGGCGGCGCGCCUAAUACAUGCAAGUCGAGCGAACAGAUGAGGAGCUUGCUCCCCUGACGUUAGCGGCGGACGGGUGAGUAACACGUGGAUAACCUACCUAUAAGACUGGGAUAACUUCGGGAAACCGGAGCUAAUACCGGAUAAUAUAUUGAACCGCAUGGUUCAAUAGUGAAAGACGGUUUUGCUGUCACUUAUAGAUGGAUCCGCGCCGCAUUAGCUAGUUGGUAAGGUAACGGCUUACCAAGGCAACGAUGCGUAGCCGACCUGAGAGGGUGAUCGGCCACACUGGAACUGAGACACGGUCCAGACUCCUACGGGAGGCAGCAGUAGGGAAUCUUCCGCAAUGGGCGAAAGCCUGACGGAGCAACACCGCGUGAGUGAUGAAGGUCUUCGGAUCGUAAAACUCUGUUAUUAGGGAAGAACAAAUGUGUAAGUAACUAUGCACGUCUUGACGGUACCUAAUCAGAAAGCCACGGCUAACUACGUG
rnacentral:rRNA from 1 species